AGAUUAAAGCAGCUUAUAUUGCUAUGCAACUUAUUAAUUGCAUUCCUAUCCAUACAAAUCAAGGUAUGCCUCUUGAUUAUCUCUCCUAUAACAUAAAACCAAAUAUUAAUUUAAUAAAGGUGUGAUUGUCAUUUUACUUAUUCUAUAAUUCCUUUCAGAAUAAACUUAUAUAGAGGAAUUCGAACACAGGGAAAGACUAAGUGCAUGAGUUUUACUUGUUAGGAUCUUACAACUAACCGUAUUCCGAACCACUAAAAUACUAAGAAACACUGCAAUGCUUUCUUCCAGUAACAAUAUUCCUUCAUCAAUUGAUAACAGCAGUGUGCAACCUUGCACUCUCAAAAGACCGCUCAAAACACAUAAUUUCCAUCCAACACCAAAAAUGACAGACUUCACUCCAACCAAUUUGAAUUCACAGAAUUUCU
rnacentral:lncRNA from 1 species